UUGUAAUGAAGAUAAAACAAAUAAGAAGCACCAAACAUGAUGUCCCACAGCACGUCCAAGCAGUCCAAGAUCGGACAAGAACCGAAGAAGCACUGGUGGACUGCAUUGUGACUUCAAAGGGAACAGAGCAGCAUUAGUGGUACUGAAAUGGUCCUUUUUCACCAUUUAAAGAUUAGCGUUUCUAAAUGACUCACCCAGGGCUGUGAUCAUUGUCAACUUCAACAUUGUCAAUUGAUUAUCCAAUAUGCUCUUAGCUUUAUUUUUAAUGGUUAUGCCAAUUAUUCAUUGAUGGCUUUUGUAUAUAUAAAACAACACUUUUUGUUUGCCCCGCAGGAUGUUCUCAAUGGGAAACCAUCAAAGUGGUUCCCCCUAAAGCCACGUGUACCAGUAUACAUGGACAGUGAGCAGCAGUGUGCCAUUCUUUUUGAACAACUCAAAGCUCUGCUGCAUAAUUCUAAAACUCAACUGAACUUCACAGAAGUGGAGUUCAUUUGUAGUUUUCUUUUUCCUGAGGCCAUCAUUCAUGGCCUAUGUGAGCUGUAGGCAUUAUCCUGGCAGGAGGCUGAGGAGGUGUUCCUCCGUGGCCCUACUUAUCACACUAGUGAAGUUGAGGAAUUUGACAGGACGAUUGCAAAAGGAAUGAGAAAAGAAGCAACUUUCACCUACCAGAAAGUAAUUCUUUUACCUUAUGCGUUUACAUUACAUUUUACAUUUUUUUCAUUUAGCAGACGCUUCUAUCCAAAGCGACUUAUAUAUAAGGAGUUUUUUUUAAUGCAAUUGAA